rnacentral:rRNA from 1 species
AGAGUUUGAUCCUGGCUCAGAUUGAACGCUGGCGGCAUGCUUUACACAUGCAAGUCGAACGGUAACAGGCCGCAAGGUGCUGACGAGUGGCGAACGGGUGAGUAAUGCAUCGGAACGUGCCCAGUCGUGGGGGAUAACGCAGCGAAAGCUGCGCUAAUACCGCAUACGAUCUAUGGAUGAAAGCGGGGGACCGUAAGGCCUCGCGCGAUUGGAGCGGCCGAUGUCAGAUUAGGUAGUUGGUGGGGUAAAGGCUCACCAAGCCGACGAUCUGUAGCUGGUCUGAGAGGACGACCAGCCACACUGGGACUGAGACACGGCCCAGACUCCUACGGGAGGCAGCAGUGGGGAAUUUUGGACAAUGGGGGCAACCCUGAUCCAGCAAUGCCGCGUGCAGGAAGAAGGCCUUCGGGUUGUAAACUGCUUUUGUACGGAACGAAACGGCUCUGGUUAAUACCCGGAGCUAAUGACGGUACCGUAAGAAUAAGCACCGGCUAACUACGUGCCAGCAGCCGCGGUAAUACGUAGGGUGCGAGCGUUAAUCGGAAUUACUGGGCGUAAAGCGUGCGCAGGCGGUGCUGUAAGACAGGCGUGAAAUCCCCGGGCUUAACCUGGGAAUGGCGCUUGUGACUGCAGUGCUGGAGUGCGGCAGAGGGGGAUGGAAUUCCGCGUGUAGCAGUGAAAUGCGUAGAUAUGCGGAGGAACACCGAUGGCGAAGGCAAUCCCCUGGGCCUGCACUGACGCUCAUGCACGAAAGCGUGGGGAGCAAACAGGAUUAAAUACCCUGGUAGUCCACGCCCUAA